rnacentral:rRNA from 1 species
CCUACGGGUGGCAGCAGUGAGGAAUAUUGGUCAAUGGGCGCAAGCCUGAACCAGCCAAGUCGCGUGAGGGAUGACGGUCCUAGGGAUUGUAAACCUCUUUUGCCGGGGAGCAAGGCACGCUACGUGUGGCGGGAGGGAGAGUACCCGACGAAACAGCAUCGGCUAACUCCGUGCCAGCAGCCGCGGUAAUACGGAGGAUGCGAGCGUUAUCCGGAUUUAUUGGGUUUAAAGGGUGCGUAGGCGGAGAAUUAAGUCAGCGGUCAAAUGUCGGUGCUCAACCCCGGACUGCCGUUGAAACUGGUCGUCUUGAGUGCGCGAGAAGUAUGCGGAAUGCGUGGUGUAGCGGUGAAAUGCAUAGAUAUCACGCAGAACUCCGAUUGCGAAGGCAGCAUACCGGCGCUCAACUGACGCUGAGGCACGAAAGCGUGGGGAUCGAACAGGAUUAGAUACCCUUGUAGUC